UUUUGGUAGUUCUAUGAACGCCUCUAAAGACAGGCAGAUGCAGAUUGAUUGGCUAGACGAAAAGGAAAUAUAUAAUGCAGUAAAGAAGGGGAACACAAUACCGAUUCCUGAAGAUAUGGGUGAUCAACAGACUCCUUCAUGCAAUAUUUAAAUGUAUGUUGGAGGUUCCAGCUGCAAACUCAACAAUGAUGAGUGGAAAGUAAAGAUGUAAUGCGCCGUGGCCUCCAAGAAUGCAUAUUAAAAGUCAUAUUUCAUUAAAUGUUUUUGAAAUUUU